AUUGAACGCUGGCGGCAGGCCUAACACAUGCAAGUCGAGCGAGCGGCGGACGGGUGAGUAAUAUCUGGGAAACUGCCUGAUGGAGGGGGAUAACUACUGGAAACGCUAGCUAAUACCGCAUACCAUCAGAUGUGCCCAGAUGGGAGUAGAUAGUAGGUGGGGUAACGGCGCCCCUAGGCGACGAUCCCUAGCUGGACUGAGAGGAUGACCAGCCACACGGUAACUGAGACACGGGCCAGACUCCGACGGGAGGCAGCAGUGGGGAAUAUUGCACAAUGGGCGCAAGCCUGAUGCAGCCAUGCCGCGUGUGUGAAGAAGUCCUUCGGUUUGUAAAGCACUUUCAGCGGGGAGGCGUUACCCGCAGAAGAAGCACCGGCUAACUCCGUGCCAGCAGCCGCGGUAAUAC
rnacentral:rRNA from 1 species